UGGCUUUGCCUGGUGCUCAGUUCACCACUCUCUCUCUCCGCCCUACCGUUACUACGGGCGAAUUCGCCGCGUAACUGGUAACUGGUAGGCCACUGCUUGCAUGCGCUCACUCUGCUUGCUUCUUAACUUGUGGGGAGUUAUUCAACUCCUCACAUUCUCCCCUUACUUCGGGAAUGAAAAAGAGACUCGCUGUUCUCUCUGCCUUGGUACACUCCACAUUCUGACAUUCUUCCCUCGACGUGUCUUCUCGUACUUGUCCUCGUUCGCCUGUAGUCUUCUAGUCGACUUGCUCCUCCCGACGGUUCCCACGACGCUCACAGCUCCUUCUUGAGUUCCACAGCGCCGAUCCUCCUUCCAGAUUUUGAACUUCCCGCCCCAGACGUUUCCCCCGUAGACUUUAAAUUCCCGCCCAGACGUUUUCCCCGUAGACUUUUGAAUUUCCGCCCAGACGUUUCCCCGAUGAUUUUUGAAUUCCCGAUAUGUCUUCUCCGUCGGAUGGCCACUCUACAUCGUGCCGAUCGGUCUCCAGUCGUUAUCGGUGCUAUCGAUAGUCUCUCGUGUGACUCUCUGUUGUAUGGUCACUCUCCGCCAAAUCGAUCGGUCUCCAGUUGCUAUCGGUUCCGUGACCCAACGUGGUGUUGCCACUUAAUAUAUCGAUGUUCCACGGUGUGACUCCCUGUGCCGAUAUUUCCAGUAUUUUGUGCCCACCGAUCGACACUAUCGUCUAGUGCCGAUCGGUCAUAAAUCGACGCGCUCCCAUCCCUUUGGGCAGAUGAGGACAUUUUCUCCGGGUAAGUUUUCUAAUUUCUCCUUUUCUCCUUUCUCUCUGUUCUUUUCUCCUUUUUUUAGCGCUCGGGACCUGACGAAGAGGGUGAUGCGCCUUCUCCUGCACCCCCUCCCCCUCCCGGUUGGCCCACGCAACUUCUCCAUUCCCUUUGCCUGAAGACAAAACUGCCCAACAUUUGGA